AAGUCGUAACAAGGUCUCCGUUGGUGACCAGCGGAGGGAUCAUUACCGAGUUUACAACUCCCAAACCCAUGUGAACAUACCUACAUGUUGCUUCGGCGGUGCCGCCCCGGCGCCCGGGACCCACGUCUCGCGGCCCGGAACCAGGCGCCCGCCGGAGGCCACAAACUCUUCUGUAUUUACAGUUUCUUCUGAGUGUGCCGCAAGGCAGCAAACAAAUGAAUCAAAACUUUCAACAACGGAUCUCUUGGUUCUGGCAUCGAUGAAGAACGCAGCGAAAUGCGAUAAGUAAUGUGAAUUGCAGAAUUCAGUGAAUCAUCGAAUCUUUGAACGCACAUUGCGCCCGCCAGAAUUCUGGCGGGCAUGCCUGUUCGAGCGUCAUUUCAACCCUCGAGCUCCCCUUGGGGAGCCCGGCGUUGGGGACCGGCAGUAACACCGCCGGCCCCGAAAUGGAGUGGCGGCCCCGUCCGCGGCGACCUCUGCGUAGUAAAUCCACUCGCACCGGGACCCGGGCGCGGCCACGCCGUAAAACACCCAACUUCCGAAUGUUGACCUCGAAUCAGGUAGGAAUACCCGCUGAACUUAAGCAUAUCAAUAAGCGGAGGAAAAGAAACCAACAGGGAUUGCCCCAGUAACGGCGAGUGAAGCGGCAACAGCUCAAAUUUGAAAUCUGGUCCCCAGGGCCCGAGUUGUAAUUUGUAGAGGAUGCUUUUGGCGAGGCGCCUUCCGAGUUCCCUGGAACGGGACGCCACAGAGGGUGAGAGCCCCGUCUGGUCGGAUGCCAAGCCUAUGUAAAGCUCCUUCGACGAGUCGAGUAGUUUGGGAAUGCUGCUCAAAAUGGGAGGUAUAUGUCUUCUAAAGCUAAAUAUUGGCCAGAGACCGAUAGCGCACAAGUAGAGUGAUCGAAAGAUGAAAAGCACUUUGAAAAGAGGGUUAAAAAGUACGUGAAAUUGUUGAAAGGGAAGCGCCUAUGACCAGACUUGGGCCCGGUGAAUCAUCCAGCGUUCUCGCUGGUGCACUUUGCCGGGCACAGGCCAGCAUCAGUUUGGCGCGGGGGAUAAAGGUUUCGGGAAUGUGGCUCCCCCGGGAGUGUUAUAGCCCGUUGCGUAAUACCCUGCGCUGGACUGAGGUACGCGCUCCGCAAGGAUGCUGGCGUAAUGGUCAUCAGCGACC
rnacentral:rRNA from 1 species